AGUGAACGCUGGCGGUAGGCCUAACACAUGCAAGUCGAACGGCAGCACAGUAAGAGCUUGCUCUUACGGGUGGCGAGUGGCGGACGGGUGAGGAAUACAUCGGAAUCUACUUUUUCGUGGGGGAUAACGUAGGGAAACUUACGCUAAUACCGCAUACGACCUACGGGUGAAAGCAGGGGAUCUUCUGACCUUGCGCGAUUGAAUGAGCCGAUGUCGGAUUAGCUAGUUGGCGGGGUAAAGGCCCACCAAGGCGACGAUCCGUAGCUGGUCUGAGAGGAUGAUCAGCCACACUGGAACUGAGGCACGGUCCAGACUCCUACGGGAGGCAGCAGUGGGGAAUAUUGGACAAUGGGCGCAAGCCUGAUCCAGCCAUACCGCGUGGGUGAAGAAGGCCUUCGGGUUGUAAAGCCCUUUUGUUGGGAAAGAAAAGCAGCAGGUUAAUACCCCGCUGUUCUGACGGUACCCAAAGAAUAAGCACCGGCUAACUUCGUG
rnacentral:rRNA from 1 species